CACAGUCGAAAAAGUUUCUGUUUCUAGCUAGUGAUGAUGAUUACUGGAGAUAGAAGCCAGCCCUACAGACUUAAUCUGAGAUUAAAGUCCUCCACAGGUCUUUGCUGUGUGUGUUUGUGCCCCUGAGUCCGAGAAGAGCCUCUGCAAA